UACGUAGGGUGCGAGCGUUAAUCGGAAUUACUGGGCGCAAAGCGUGCGCAGGCGGCGCGUUAAGACAGGUGUGAAAGCCCCGAGCUUAACUUGGGAAUUGCGCUUGUGACUGGCGUGCUGGAGUGUGGCAGAGGGAGGUGGAAUUCCACGUGUAGCAGUGAAAUGCGUAGAGAUGUGGAGGAACACCGAUGGCGAAGGCAGCCCCCUGGGCUGAGAUUGACGCUCAGGCACGAAAGCGUGGGGAGCAAACAGG
rnacentral:rRNA from 1 species